CCUACGGGAGGCAGCAGUGAGGAAUAUUGGUCAAUGGACGAGAGUCUGAACCAGCCAAGUAGCGUGAAGGAUGACUGCCCUAUGGGUUGUAAACUUCUUUUAUAUGGGAAUAAAAUGUUCCACGUGUGGGAUUUUGUAUGUACCAUAUGAAUCCGGAUCGGCUAACUCCGUGCCAGCAGCCGCGGUAAUACGGAGGAUCCGAGCGUUAUCCGGAUUUAUUGGGUUUAAAGGGAGCGUAGGUGGAUUGUUAAGUCAGUUGUGAAAGUUUGCGGCUCAACCGUAAAAUUGCAGUUGAAACUGGCAGUCUUGAGUACAGUAGAGGUGGGCGGAAGUCGAGGUGUAGCGGUGAAAUGCGUAGAUAUCACGAAGAACUCCGAUUGCGAAGGCAGUUCACUGGACUGCAACUGACACUGAGGCUCGAAAGUGUGGGUAUCAAACAGGAUUAGAUACCCGGGUAGUC
rnacentral:rRNA from 1 species